GCGAGACACGGGAAGAGAGGUCAAAGGCGCUCUACACACGGGCAGUGAAAGGAGGUGGGGGCAGGUUGUGUUUAGCUUAAGAAGAGAAAGUUAAAAAAAAAAAAAAAGGAAUUAAUGCUUGUAAGACAUAGGGUCAAAAAUAGAAUGGCAGAAAAUUAAAAAGUCCUUUUAUUCUGUUUAAAAUUACCUAGUGGAUUCCCAUCUUAUUCAGAGAAAGACGGAACCUCUAAAACAGUGGUCGUCAGUGAUGUGGAAAGAGUGGAUUUGAGCGUCGAAGGAGAUUUCACAGAGUCAGGAGACAUUUUUGAUUGCCAUCAUGAGAGGGAUGAGCGUGCUUCUGGAAUCUGAUUUGCAACCUAAAUAUGAAUCAGUACAUGAAUGGAUAAAAAAAAUAUGGUAUCUACACACACACACACACACAAUGUAAUUCAGCUUUAAGAGAAGAAGGAAAUCCUACUAUUUGCAACAAUGAGAAUGGAUUUGGAAGACAUUGUCCUAAUUAAAUAAAGAAGUCAGU
rnacentral:lncRNA from 1 species